rnacentral:rRNA from 1 species
UACGAAGGGGGCUAGCGUUGUUCGGAUUUACUGGGCGUAAAGCGCGUUCAGGCGGUUUGGCAAGUCGGGCAUGAAAUCUCUCGGCUCAACCGGGAGAGGUUGUCCGAUACUGCUGGACUUGAGGGCAGUAGAGGGUGGUGGAAUUCCGGGUGUAGUGGUGAAAUGCGUAGAUAUCCGGAGGAACACCAGUGGCGAAAGCGGCCACCUGGACUGCACCUGACGCUGACACGCGAAAGCUAGGGGAGCGAACGGG